rnacentral:tRNA from 1 species
GGGAAUGUGGCUCAGUGGUAGAGUGCUUGCCUGGCAUGUAAUAAGCUCUGAGUUCAAUUCCCAUCACCA